rnacentral:lncRNA from 1 species
AAAAUAUCCAUGGGGCAACCUGUGAACUCAGCGGUGAACAUUCCUCAGUGACACAAUGCCCGAGUUUGCUUGUGUUUGUUUCAACAUAGUAACUAAGGUCCAUAGAGACCUGGAAAACAGCCCCAUGGAUGUGCUGAAAAUCAACAUGUCAGAAUGGUUGGAGCACCUCCAAAGCCACUGUCCCUCGUUCCCAGACAACAAUCAUCACUCGGUUUGUCAAGAAGCUCCCUGGAAAAUUCUGCUCACAGGGCUUAAGUUUAUCAGACCUGACUCCUGUUUUGCCUAGUGUUUCCAGCCCUUUCCUUGAGAGCAUGUGUCUACAGAAAGAGGAAGAAGGAAGAAAGGAGGGAGAAAGACAAAAGAGAGACGGAGGGGGAGGAGGAGGGGACGGAGAGAGGGAAAGGGGGAGGAAGAGAGAGGGGAAGGGGGAAAGGGGGAGGAAGAGAGGAGGA